GACGAACGCUGGCGGCGUGCUUAACACAUGCAAGUCGAACGGAAAGGCCCUGCUUUUGUGGGGUGCUCGAGUGGCGAACGGGUGAGUAACACGUGAGUAACCUGCCCUUGACUUUGGGAUAACUUCAGGAAACUGGGGCUAAUACCGGAUAGGAGCUCCUGCUGCAUGGUGGGGGUUGGAAAGUUUCGGCGGUUGGGGAUGGACUCGCGGCUUAUCAGCUUGUUGGUGGGGUAGUGGCUUACCAAGGCUUUGACGGGUAGCCGGCCUGAGAGGGUGACCGGCCACAUUGGGACUGAGAUACGGGCAAGACUCCUACGGGAGGCAGCAGUGGAGAAUAUUGCACAAUGGGCGGAAGCCUGAUGCAGCAACGCCGCGUGCGGGAUGACGGCCUUCGGGUUGUAAACCGCUUUCGCCUGUGACGAAGCGUGAGUGACGGUAAUGGGUAAAGAAGCACCGGCUAACUACGUG
rnacentral:rRNA from 1 species